GACGAACGCUGGCGGCGUGCUUAACACAUGCAAGUCGAACGGAAAGGCCUCUUUCGGGGGGUACUCGAGUGGCGAACGGGUGAGUAACACGUGAGUAACCUGCCCUUGACUUUGGGAUAACUUCAGGAAACUGGGGCUAAUACCGGAUAGGAGCUCCUGCUGCAUGGUGGGGGUUGGAAAGUUUCGGCGGUUGGGGAUGGACUCGCGGCUUAUCAGCUUGUUGGUGGGGUAGUGGCUUACCAAGGCUUUGACGGGUAGCCGGCCUGAGAGGGUGACCGGCCACAUUGGGACUGAGAUACGGCCCAGACUCCGACGGGAGGCAGCAGUGAGGAAGAUUGCACAAUGGGUGGAAGCCUGAUGCAGCAACGCCGUGUGCGGGAGGACGGCCUUCGUGUUGUAAACCGCGUUCGCUCAUGACGAAGCUUUGUGUGACGGUAGUGGGUAAAGAAGCACCGGCUAACUACGUG
rnacentral:rRNA from 1 species